rnacentral:ncRNA from 2 species
AUGCACUUGUCGGAGUGCCUGCUGUAUUGCAUGCGUUAAAAGCGCACAACUCAUCGGGCUGAGAUUUCAUUCGUGAAAAAUCCGUUGAACCUGAACAGGUUAAGACCUGCGGAGGGAACAAGGGCCAGCACAGU